rnacentral:rRNA from 1 species
UACAGAGGGGGCAAGCGUUGUUCGGAAUUACUGGGCGUAAAGGGAGCGUAGGCGGGUUUUUAAGUCAGGUGUUUAAUCCCGGGGCCCAACCCCGGACAGGCACUUGAAACUGGGAAUCUUGAAUAGGGGAGAGGUCGGUGGAAUUGGAGGUGUAGCGGUGGAAUGCGUAGAGAUCUCCAAGAACACCCGUUGCGAAGGCGGCCGACUGGACCCAUAUUGACGCUGAGGCUCGAAAGCAUGGGGAGCAAACAGG